UCGGGAAUUUUGGGCAAUGGGCGAAAGCCUGACCCAGCAACGCCGCGUGAAGGAUGAAGUAUUUCGGUAUGUAAACUUCGAAAGAAUAGGAAGAAUAAAUGACGGUACUAUUUAUAAGGUCCGGCUAACUACGUGCCAGCAGCCGCGGUAAUACGUAGGGACCAAGCGUUGUUCGGAUUUACUGGGCGUAAAGGGCGCGUAGGCGGCAUGACAAGUCACUUGUGAAAUCUCUGGGCUUAACCCAGAACGGCCAAGUGAUACUGUCGCGCUAGAGUGCAGAAGGGGCAAUCGGAAUUCUUGGUGUAGCGGUGAAAUGCGUAGAUAUCAAGAGGAACACCUGAGGUGAAGACGGGUUGCUGGGCUGACACUGACGCUGAGGCGCGAAAGCCAGGGGGAGCAAA
rnacentral:rRNA from 1 species